UACGUAGGGGGCAAGCGUUGUCCGGAAUCAUUGGGCGUAAAGAGCGUGUAGGCGGCCCGGUAAGUCCGCUGUGAAAGUCCAGGGCUCAACCCUGGGAUGCCGGUGGAUACUGUCGGGCUCGAGUCCGGAAGAGGAGUGUGGAAUUCCUGGUGUAGCGGUGAAAUGCGCAGAUAUCAGGAGGAACACCAAUGGCGAAGGCAGCACUCUGGGACGUGACUGACGCUGAGACGCGAAAGUGUGGGGAGCGAACAGG
rnacentral:rRNA from 1 species